AGAGUUUGAUCAUGGCUCAGAUUGAACGCUGGCGGCAGGCCUAACACAUGCAAGUCGAGCGGUAGCACAGAGAGCUUGCUCUCGGGUGACGAGCGGCGGACGGGUGAGUAAUGUCUGGGAAACUGCCUGAUGGAGGGGGAUAACUACUGGAAACGGUAGCUAAUACCGCAUAAUGUCGCAAGACCAAAGUGGGGGACCUUCGGGCCUCAUGCCAUCAGAUGUGCCCAGAUGGGAUUAGCUAGUAGGUGGGGUAACGGCUCACCUAGGCGACGAUCCCUAGCUGGUCUGAGAGGAUGACCAGCCACACUGGAACUGAGACACGGUCCAGACUCCUACGGGAGGCAGCAGUGGGGAAUAUUGGACAAUGGGCGCAAGCCUGAUCCAGCCAUGCCGCGUGAGUGAUGAAGGCCCUAGGGUUGUAAAGCUCUUUCAACGGUGAAGAUAAUGACGGUAACCGUAGAAGAAGCCCCGGCUAACUUCGUGCCAGCAGCCGCGGUAAUACGAAGGGGGCUAGCGUUGUUCGGAAUUACUGGGCGUAAAGCGCACGCAGGCGGUCUGUCAAGUCGGAUGUGAAAUCCCCGGGCUCAACCUGGGAACUGCAUUCGAAACUGGCAGGCUAGAGUCUUGUAGAGGGGGGUAGAAUUCCAGGUGUAGCGGUGAAAUGCGUAGAGAUCUGGAGGAAUACCGGUGGCGAAGGCGGCCCCCUGGACAAAGACUGACGCUCAGGUGCGAAAGCGUGGGGAGCAAACAGGAUUAGAUACCCUGGUAGUCCACGCCGUAAACGAUGUCGAUUUGGAGGUUGUGCCCUUGAGGCGUGGCUUCCGGAGCUAACGCGUUAAAUCGACCGCCUGGGGAGUACGGCCGCAAGGUUAAAACUCAAAUGAAUUGACGGGGGCCCGCACAAGCGGUGGAGCAUGUGGUUUAAUUCGA
rnacentral:rRNA from 1 species